rnacentral:rRNA from 1 species
UACGUAGGUCCCGAGCGUUAUCCGGAUUUAUUGGGCGUAAAGCGAGCGCAGGCGGUUAGAUAAGUCUGAAGUUAAAGGCUGUGGCUUAACCAUAGUACGCUUUGGAAACUGUUUAACUUGAGUGCAGAAGGGGAGAGUGGAAUUCCAUGCGUAGCGGUGAAAUGCGUAGAUAUAUGGAGGAACACCGGUGGCGAAAGCGGCUCUCUGGUCUGUAACUGACGCUGAGGCUCGAAAGCGUGGGGAGCAAACAGGAUUAGA